rnacentral:tRNA from 1 species
GGGCCUGUGGUCUAGUGGCUAGGACACCUCCCUCACACGGAGGAGAUCAGCAGUUCGAUUCUGCUCAGGCCCA